rnacentral:rRNA from 1 species
GACGAACGCUGGCGGCGUGCCUAAUACAUGCAAGUCGAGCGGAAUGAUGAAGAAGCUUGCUUCUUCUGAUUUUAGCGGCGGACGGGUGAGUAACACGUGGGCAACCUACCUUGUAGAUUGGGAUAACUCCGGGAAACCGGGGCUAAUACCGAAUAAUCCAUUUUGCUUCAUGGCGAGAUGUUAAAAGGCGGCUUCGGCUGUCACUACGAGAUGGGCCCGCGGCGCAUUAGCUAGUUGGUAGGGUAAUGGCCUACCAAGGCGACGAUGCGUAGCCGACCUGAGAGGGUGAUCGGCCACACUGGGACUGAGACACGGCCCAGACUCCUACGGGAGGCGGCAGUAGGGAAUCUUCCGCAAUGGACGAAAGUCUGACGGAGCAACGCCGCGUGAGUGAAGAAGGUUUUCGGAUCGUAAAACUCUGUUGUUAGGGAAGAACACGUACGAGAGUAACUGCUCGUACCUUGACGGUACCUAACCAGAAAGCCACGGCUAACUACGUG